rnacentral:rRNA from 1 species
UAAGCCUGCGAAGGUGGCCUGUGAGGGUUGCUGGAGGUAUCAGAAGUGCGAAUGCUGACAUAAGUAACGAUAAAGCGGGUGAAAAGCCCGCUCGCCGGAAGACCAAGGGUUCCUGUCCAACGUUAAUCGGGGCAGGGUGAGUCGACCCCUAAGGCGAGGCCGAAAGGCGUAGUCGAUGGGAAACGGGUUAAUAUUCCCGUACUUGGUGUUACUGCGAAGGGGGGACGGAGAAGGCUAUGUUGGCCGGGCGACGGUUGUCCCGGUUUAAGCGUGUAGGUGUGUGUUCCAGGUAAAUCCGGUUCACUUUAACACUGAGGCGUGACGACGAGGCACUACGGUGCUGAAGCAACAAAUGCCCUGCUUCCAGGAAAAGCCUCUAAGCAUCAGGUAACAUCAAAUCGUACCCCAAACCGACACAGGUGGUCAGGUAGAGAAUACCAAGGCGCUUGAGAGAACUCGGGUGAAGGAACUAGGCAAAAUGGUGCCGUAACUUCGGGAGAAGGCACGCUGACACGUAGGUGAAGUGAUUUACUCAUGGAGCUGAAGUCAGUCGAAGAUACCAGCUGGCUGCAACUGUUUAUUAAAAACACAGCACUGUGCAAACACGAAAGUGGACGUAUACGGUGUGACGCCUGCCCGGUGCCGGAAGGUUAAUUGAUGGGGUCAGCGCAAGCGAAGCUCCUGAUCGAAGCCCCGGUAAACGGCGGCCGUAACUAUAACGGUCCUAAGGUAGCGAAAUUCCUUGUCGGGUAAGUUCCGACCUGCACGAAUGGCGUAAUGAUGGCCAGGCUGUCUCCACCCGAGACUCAGUGAAAUUGAACUCGCUGUGAAGAUGCAGUGUACCCGCGGCAAGACGGAAAGACCCCGUGAACCUUUACUAUAGCUUGACACUGAACAUUGAGCCUUGAUGUGUAGGAUAGGUGGGAGGCUUUGAAGUGUGGACGCCAGUCUGCAUGGAGCCGACCUUGAAAUACCACCCUUUAAUGUUUGAUGUUCUAACGUGGACCCGUAAUCCGGGUUGCGGACAGUGUCUGGUGGGUAGUUUGACUGGGGCGGUCUCCUCCUAAAGAGUAACGGAGGAGCACGAAGGUUGGCUAAUCCUGGUCGGACAUCAGGAGGUUAGUGCAAUGGCAUAAGCCAGCUUGACUGCGAGCGUGACGGCGCGAGCAGGUGCGAAAGCAGGUCAUAGUGAUCCGGUGGUUCUGAAUGGAAGGGCCAUCGCUCAACGGAUAAAAGGUACUCCGGGGAUAACAGGCUGAUACCGCCCAAGAGUUCAUAUCGACGGCGGUGUUUGGCACCUCGAUGUCGGCUCAUCACAUCCUGGGGCUGAAGUAGGUCCCAAGGGUAUGGCUGUUCGCCAUUUAAAGUGGUACGCGAGCUGGGUUUAGAACGUCGUGAGACAGUUCGGUCCCUAUCUGCCGUGGGCGCUGGAGAACUGAGGGGGGCUGCUCCUAGUACGAGAGGACCGGAGUGGACGCAUCACUGGUGUUCGGGUUGUCAUGCCAAUGGCACUGCCCGGUAGCUAAAUGCGGAAGAGAUAAGUGCUGAAAGCAUCUAAGCACGAAACUUGCCCCGA